UACAGAGGGUGCGAGCGUUGUUCGGAAUUACUGGGCGUAAAGCGCGUGUAGGCGGCGGCGUAAGUCGAAUGUGAAAGCCCUUGGCUUAACCAAGGAAGUGCAUUCGAUACUGUGUCGCUUGGGUACCGGAGGGGAUGGCGGAAUUCCUGGUGUAGAGGUGAAAUUCGUAGAUAUCAGGAGGAACACCUGUGGCGAAGGCGGCCAUCUGGACGGUGACUGACGCUGAGACGCGAAAGCGUGGGUAGCAAACAGG
rnacentral:rRNA from 1 species